CAUAGGAAGCACAGCCCCAGGAGCCAGGCAGAGCUUUGGCUGCCUGCUGGAGCACCUGGCAGCCAGGCAGCAUCAGGGCUCAAAGUCCUUGCCUGGAUCACCUCAUCGAACUGCUCAGCCCACAGAGUAGCAGGAAGAAGCCAGCGGGAAGUCCUGCAGCCAGCUGCCCAUCCUCAGGGCUGGAGGCUGCAGCCUUCCCCGCAGCCCAGAUGGAAAAACACUGCAGUCCCAGAAGGGCCAGAGAGAAGGUGGAGAGGCAGAGAGGCGGUCCAAGUCUUGAACAAGCUUCUUCUCACUGCUCUGUUAGCCACAUGGACAUCAAGCUCCUCGUCCCUGACAGCUCUCCUGCCAAUGGUGCCCCUUUUGUCCCUUUUCCCCUGGUCCCUCGUCACAGGGACCCUCCUGGGCUAUAGGUUGGCAGUCCUGACCCUUGCCCUGUCCCGAGUUCUACCUCAGCUCGUCAGAUUGCUUGACACAGACUGAUAAGUGAAAGUGUACUGAAAGAAUGAACUAAUGAAUGAAUUUGAAAGUGUAAAAUUGUUCCAAUAAACACCCAAUGUUUCUAUUACUCAGGCAUCCCAAGUCUAAUGUUGGUUUGGUUUGAUUUCCUGAAAACCAGGACUUGAUGUGUCUUUGAGUAUCCCCUUGGUUACUGUGCUCCAAAGUCAAAACAGGUUAUUUCAAAUUGGUGAAAUUAACUUUGCUUACCUCAUUCAGGACAGCCUUUUUUUUUUUCUGAAAUAAAAUUUAAAAAAUGAAUUAACAUGAGAAGGAUGAAUUCCUUACAAUAGUUUCCAUCCUUAAUCUUGCUCUGCUCUGAGUCAAUAAGAGCUGAAAAUAGUCACUUCUGACCUUAAUGGCUGAGUCGGCAAGUCCAGCCCUGUACAGGAAGGCACAGGAGCCAGAUCAAAGGGCUCCCAGGGCUAAUUCAGGGCCAUUUGAAUGAUAAACAGAAUAAUGUCUAUAAUUAUUUUUUUUAAAAGACUGAAAAAAUAAAGGGUGUUGAGUCCAUAGUUACAUUCCUCCCAACCCUGAGAGGGAAACAGACAGGGAGAGUCACUUGAUCUGCUGAAGGUGACCAUCAAAACAACAUCUUACUCUGAAACUGGCAUUUCCUUAAUACUUGAAGGGAAAUAACUAGGGACUGUGCUGUCUGCUUAGGAGGACCGGGAAUAGGGGAACUCAGGGCAGUGCAGGGGUCCAGCUGCCAUCCGCUAGGCCCAGAGAGUCCCUGCAAGUAGACCUGAAGAAAGGAGAGAAGGGGCAUCUCGGGCAGGAAAGCUGGCAAGAGCUAGGAACCGCAGGUCCCCCGUGUGGCUGGUGGGGAGCGUGGGAGGAAGCAUGGAAGGCAGGUCCGUGCACCGAAGAGGAAAACCCUGCUUUACAAAGUAGAAGGAUGAGAGUGGGAAGACACUGCUCUUGGAAAUCAUCUGACAGGAAUCAACACAGUCUUUCCAGUAGAACUUCUCACUUAGGAAAUAGAGGGAGGGAGGAACAAAUUAAACAACACCAUGGGAAGCAAUCAGAUCUGAGAUGUGGAACAGCCGAUGAGGCACUGGGGCCUGUACUCUUCAAAAAGAAAAUGUCUUUAAAAAGAAAGAGAAGGCCUGAGACCUAACCAACCAGUGAGGAGCCCAAUCCAACCAUGCCUGGAUCUCAGCUUGAAACUGACAGCUAGGAAUGGCUCCUGGCACAUUUAGGGAAUCUGAAUAUGAAGGACCCAACACAGAAAAUUAUUGUUAUAUUCUUAGGUGCAAUAAUGGUAUUGUGUGCCAGGCACAGAGGCACAUGCCUGUAAUCCCGGUGGCUCAGGAGGCUGAGGCAGGAGGAUAACAAGUUCAAAGCCAAUCUCAGCAAAAGCGAGGUGCUAAGCAACUCAGUAAGACCCUGUCUCUAAAUAAAAUACGAAACAGCACUGGGGAUAUGGCUCAGUGGUUGAGUGCCCUAGAGUUCAAUCCCCAGUACUCACCCUCCUCAAAAAAAGAUAAUGGCAUUGUGGUUAAGUAGGAAAAUAUCCUUCUUAGAAGAUAUGUGCUAAUGUUUCACAUCUGAAGCUUUCUCUCAAGUGUACCUGGGGAAAAUAUUAUAUAUAUAUAAAAAUAUAUGGCUGAGUAUUAACUACCCUUGAAUCCAGGUGCUGGCAAGAUGAGUCCAGUAUACUGUUGAAUAUUGUAAGUUCUUUUCACUUUUCCAUAAGUUUUGAAAAGUCUUAAUAAUAAAAGCUGGGAAGAAAAAAAGAUUUCAAGAGGCUUCAAUGGCCUACUAGAACCAAGGUCUUGUGAGAUGCAGGCAAGGACAGAAGGUCAAUUUGUUUGUUCAAUUGGGGGAAAGGUGAUAACUUAUUUUUAACACUAGGUAGACCUUUUGGAGCACCUAAGCUCACCUGAGGACACCAAUGCCUCUUAAGAACUGCAGUCUCAGUGGUAGGGACCCCUGAAGAGCCCCCCAGGUGCUCAGGAGAGAGCGCUUUUCCUCCCUCACCCAAGGGGCAGAGAGGAAUUUCACAGCCUGUUAUGGAUGGGCUGUCUGCAGAGCUGCCUAUCAAUGAAGACCCUCCGUAUUCCCGAUAAGAUGGACCACUCCUGCAGGCGCUUCCUCCCAGGGCGCCCCUGAGGAGGGCGGGCUGUGGAGCUCUCCGCAGGCCUACAGGAAAUGGAAGGUGGACGGGCUGGUGCAGGGAAGAUCUUGUAAGGACCUGGCAGGACAUCACAUGGCAGACGGCAGGCCGCACUUACGGAUGAAUCUUAUUCGUUCUGAGGAGGACCUGUUCCCGUACUGCCCACCACACCCUCGACAGAUGCCUGGUAAGCAUGUGGGCCCUGGACUCGUCUGGAAGCAAUCUCCUAGGAGGAGUCUAUCCUGCCACUGCAGCAUCUGCAGGGAGCUCACCCACAGAUGGCCACACACUUUCCAAUAGCCAUCUGUGACUUGAGAAGCACCCCUUUCAGGGCUGGAGUGUGGCUCAGUGGCAAUGCUGGCCUAGCAAGGGCAAGCCCCUGAGCUCAAUCCCUAGCACUGCGGGGGGAAAUUACCUAGCUUUCUGCAGUUCUUUUUUGGAUAUUUUUGAAGUUGAAUAUUAUAUUUUGACAAUGAUGUUUCUGGGAUUACAGGUAAGAUAUUUCUAGCAAGGCUUUUGAUACAAAGAAACAGGAAUUGCUAUUGUGACCAUUAAAAUACCACUGAUUUCUAUCAUGUAUGGGUCCAAUUUAUUAUCCACAAGGACAAUUCUCAAUAAAAAUUAAAAUACUGAACUAUUUCUCUGACAUCUAAAGCUCAGUGGAGAAGCCCAUCCGUGCAGAAGGCCCUCACAGAGAGAUGUGAGCUUCCGGCCAUGCACGUGCAGCCGAGAUGCCUGGUGCAUGCAUGUGGCCUGGUGCAUGGCCCAACAGAAUCAGCAGGCCACUAGGUAUAGAAACCAAGCCUUUUACUUUCUGUAUUAUAUGAUGCUGUGACAUUUGGGCCUGCUGACCCUGGAGAGAGGAGCCACUUCCUAGGGAAGAAGGACUUCCCUGUGAGAAACUUUUCAUAUGCAACUCACCAAGCCCAGCCCACACCACCACCUAGCUCCCUUGUGUGACCCUCAUGCACCAAGUUAGUGUUCCCUGCCCCCUAGCAUCCAGGGCCAGGUACCCACGAGAAUUGUUCAAUCCAGCCAAUCCUCACCUGCCCUUGCCUCACCUGGUCCUGCCUAGAGCAAAGGCCCUGGGCCAUACUUUACUGCUGCCUCUUGCCUGUCCCCUGCGCCCCUAUGCAUCCCCAUGUGGCACGCCUGCUCCCGUUUCUAGGGGUGUGUGAGGGUGGACCUCUGUGACAGUCAUUCAUGUCUGGGGGUCUCACCGUGCCUGACCAGACAAAUCCCGUACAUCAGCAUAGCCACCCAUCACUGGGCUCUCUGGGUGUGAGUCUCGUCACCUGGGUCCACAUGCUGCCACCUAGCUCUAGUGUUCUGAGUUGUCCCCUGAAAGGCCUCAUGGCCUCCCUUGACCCUGACUCAUUCUCAGACCCUCAUUCCAAUCAAGUGAGGUGCAAGUCUGUCACAUAUUUCAUGCCAAUGUGACCAAAAGGUAAAAUCAGCCACUUAGAAGAUGGAGGAACAAUGACUCCAACAACUCUGGGCAGAUGGCUAAAACAAAAAUGGAGUUUGAUAUGCAUAUAAAUUUGGUGAGGCACUGCUUUGUUUUAACCUACAAUUAACCAUUCUCCCAGAAUGGCUGGGAGCAGACACCCUUACUCAGAACAACACUGACCUUCCAGUUAAUGCCACUCUCUUCCUUUUCUUUAAAAUGGAUUUUUUUUUUUCUGAUACUGGGGAUUAAACCCAAAGCAUCAUACAUGCUAGAUAAGUACUUUACCACUGAGCUACACCCCCAGCCCUUGUAAAACCUUAUUUUGAGGCUGGCCUCAAACUUGUGAUCCUCUGGUGUCAGCUUCUCGAUGAACUGGGAUUACAGGCAAGCACCACCACACUUAGCCAAAACGAAAUGCUUUAAUAAGCAGGAAAGAAGCAAAGCUAAUUAUGCUUAUGAAGAAAAACCCAGCCAGGGGUGGUAGCACAUGCCUAUAAUCCCAGUGGAUCGGGAGGCUAAGAAAGGAGGAUCAUGAGUUCAAAGCCAACCUCAGCAACUUAGUGAGACCCUGUUUCAAAAUAAAAAAUUUAAAAAAGGGCUGGGAGGUGGCUCAGUGGUUAAGUGCCCCUAGGUUCAAUCCCUGGUACCAAAAAAGAAAAAUUCAGACAAAAGAAAGGGAAGAAGUGCUUAUAACUCCACCGGAGUAAAAGCUAAUUCUGGCAGUACUUUCAGACAUACUUCUAAGUAAAAUUUUUUUUUUUCAGUAAAAAGAAAUCUAUGUAUCUACAUAUAUAUGCUUUUGGGGGUUGUUUCCAUCAAACAGGCCAUAGGCAUCUCUCAUGUCAUAACUGAAGACCCACUUUAUUCUUUGUACUGACUGCUCAAUACUGCACCGAUGGGGACACGGCCAGCUCACGAAUGAGCAACACACCGUGCUCUUGAGUUUGCUGCGGCUCCUCACUAUUGCAGAAUGGACUGCAGCCAGCACCCGUCACCGCCUCUCUGCAGACUACAGUGAUGCCUUCUGUGGCCCCAGUCUCGGCGAGGACAAUGGGAAGCCUGGGAUCCUCAAUGUGCUCCUGUCAUGUGCAGGAACACAAAUCUCAAGGUCAUAUAAGAAGAUGCCAGAACAAAAACAUUGAACGAAAUUUUGACACCAAGUGAAGUCUCCUAAAGCCUGAGCUGAGAGAGGUGUGGUAACAGAUUAAGGAUAUAAUUCCUGGAGAAAAAGAACUUCUCUGCCAUCUUACUGGUGUGGCCUCUCUGUGCUGAACAGAGUUAGUGGAAAAUUUAAAUCCCAAUUACUUGGAAGCAACAGACCCUGCAGUACAGAUCUCAAAGCAAGCAGGUGGCCCUGGAGUCUGAAGCUGGAUCUUUCUGAGGUGUCAACACAUGAGUCAGGAGGGACAAGCAAUUUAUACCAAGGCCUCCUUUCCUGAUUUAUCUGUGUCUAGUUAUCGUGCAGAGAGGAAACUGGUGCUAUUGGUCUUCUGUGUUCAACCAAGACACUAAUAACACAAGAGCACACACUUGGUUUUCUCCAUUUUGAGGAUUUACAGAAACCCUGAGCAGGCCAGAGACAGAGAGGUGCACACACAAAGCCUCUUUCCGUCCCCACAGUCUGCGGGAAAGGGGUUCCUCCCUAAGGGAUGUAUGACUUUGAAAGUUAACAACGGGCAGAAACCCUGAUGUUUCUUUAUUGCUGAGCACCUCUCGGGGGUCAGGGCUACAGAAGUAGCCAAGUAACAAAUCAGUUAGUCCUGUAGCCUCCCUGGUCCCCAAGGGCACUUUACUUGCAGAAGAGGUUUCAGUGACAUCCUGUGCAUGACACAGAUCAGAGAGGCACUCAAGCCCAGCAUCACACACAAUGCCCUAGGUAUACCACCAGACAAGAAUGAGAGUCUAGGAGAACACUCAGUAGAAGCCUGUGUCCCUUGGGGUGGGCAGUGUGGCAAUCAGAUGAGUGGAUGAACCAUGAGGGUGCCCAGAGAGUGGGAAGGGACAAUGACUCUGUGUUACUUAGAACAUUAUCCAGAGCACUGAAAAAACCUCCACAAAUGCAUGCCCUUGGGGACAGCACAAAUCCACAUGCUCUGUCUGAGCAGCAGCAAUGUUUUCACAAAGGACUGAGAUGGACUCUCGCUGUUCACGCAGCACACACACUGCCGGUAGGGUGUGCCACAGUCACGGUUGCUGCACAGCCUGCCUGGGCCCGGCUGGCACACACGCAAAGAACCACGGGCUUCCCCCAGCUGGCAGUGCUGUGGUGUCUGGAUUUGUAACUGAGCAGCUUCUCCAAACUCCCUUUCAGUUUGCCUUCUGCUCUUGAGCUGGCUUUGAAUGAAAAGACCCUAAAAUUAGAAUCCAGCUAAGUAAACCAGCCUUGGAAGAGGAAAGCCAGUCCAGAUCAAAACCAAACAAAAGCCCCUUUAUGUUCCACAACCAGCAGGUGACAGUCCUGCAGGCCCAUCCUCCCGGAGGCCAAGGGAACCGCCACCUGCCAGCCUCUCGCAGCUGACACUGGUCCUGCUGCAGCAGGUCUGGGGCAUUCCAGGCCCUGCUCAGGUCUGUGGCAGGCAGAAGAAGGGUCACCAGAAGGGACUGCAGAAGAGGCUGCAACCUGGGCUCGUUUUGGACCCUUCUAAAUCACACUGGCUUCAUCCACCACACAUUCACAUGACAAGCCCUCUGGAGCAAACAGUGGCCACGGGAUUUUAACACCUAAGUUGUUCCCUUUUAGACUGAGUCAGACCACACCUGCCAUCUCAAGAAUCCAUGCAUUGGGAAAAGAUUCAUAAGGGGGUAGAAGUGCAGGUAGCCCGGGGCUAACAGGGACAGAGCCACCUAGCUGACCCCUGGGUCAGGGAAGGGCAGGUGACCCUCACAUGCCUGCCUCAGCCACAGCUGUCUCCUUGUAUCCAUCUAAAUGGGCAAAGAGGGUCAGUGGCCAGGUCCUCACCACACUGUCACUCAGCACCACAUGAGCCAGAGAUCAGGGAUAGAAGGGAAGAGGCCUGGGUCCCCCAGAGAGUGCAGCAUAUUUUGGACUUGCCUUUUGGGCCUCUGCAGCCUCCUUGAUAUAGUCAGAGAGCCCCUGCUACAGAGCUGAACUUGCCGCAUGCUUGAGGUCUGGAAGAUCUCUCACCAGCCCAAAUGUCCAAGACCCAACACCAGUCUGAGAGGUUAAUCCACUGACCAGGGGUCAACCAUAGCCCCUAACUUCUGUACACACCACCCACAUCACAGACAUUGACUAACAGAGGUAGGACGGCCAACAUCACAGUCAGGAAAGGCUCUGGGCGUGAGGAUAAGCAUGUGUGUUGCUGUCAGCUGAGAGUCCCAGUGCCCAAUGGGAGAUGAAGCCGUACCUCGCGAGUCACUUCCAUGGGAGCGCUGGGCUCCUCUUUCCUGGUUUCUUCCAGUUCUUGACACUUGUUGGUGAGUGUUUGAAUUUCCUCUCUAAAGUGGAAAAAGAAAAGAUGACACCUCAUGAGUCACUAUGUGACGAAGGGCCCCUGCACAACUCAGCAGGAAGUUCUGUGCAGAGACAGAUGCUAGACAGGAUAUAGAGAGCCCAUGGCCACCUCCCUGGUGCACCAGAAGCCCCACUGCAGGGGCUUCUAAUGUGUCCCCCAAGCUGGGAGCCUUGUAGGGGUGGGGCUGGGGAUCUUCAGGGUCAGCCUGAUCCCCGAAGCAUCGUCAGAACUCUGAAGAGUAGCCAUUGCACGCAGCAUGUGCGAGGCCCUGGGUUCAAGCCCCAGCACCACACACUAGAAACAAACAAGAAGAAGUCAUAGCGUGAACCAUGAACAGGAAGUUAUAGCGUGGAGUUUUUAAUAAACAAUGUGAAUAUUUCCUUACUACAGAUGCUAAAGUCAAACAACUUGCUUCUGGGCACCUGCCUUUUCAAUUGAAUUUUGGCUUCUGACAAUCUGAGUUAUAUUUCUCCUGAAAAGAAAAUGUUCUACUUGUUUCAAUAAUAUGUACCUUGCUAAUUAUCUUCAGUGCUGAACAUUCCCAUUUAGAUUCUAAUCUAGUUUUCUUAUAUUUUAAAAAAUUGAGCUCUUUGCUUCUUGGUUGCCAUUUUCUGAGCUGCUGUCCUCCAUGAUUGAUGUGCUGCCUCACCUUGGGCAAUGGAGUUGGCCGUCUAUGGACUGAGACCUCUGAAACCUGCCUGCCAAAGAAAGUUCCGCUACUCAGCACUGGAGAAUACUGACUCCCACCACAUUACCACCAUGAGGACGUUAGACAGUCCAGAGGAGGUGUUUGGUAUAGGCAUGCUUGCAUAUCUGUGGGAGGUUGGUUCCAGGAUUCCCAGGAUGCCAAAAUCCACAGAUGCUCAAGUCCCUUAAAUAAAAUGGCAAUAUCUGCAAAUAACCUGUGCAUAUCCUCCUGUACCUUUUCAAUCAUCUCUUGGUCACUUAUAAUAUACAAAUGUUCUGUAAAAAAUUGAGAUAAGAUUUGUAAUAUAAAAUUCAUUAUUUUAAAGUGUAUAA